rnacentral:rRNA from 1 species
UACGUAGGGUGCGAGCGUUAAUCGGAAUUACUGGGCGUAAAGCGUGCGCAGGCGGCCAAGUGUGUCAGAUGUGAAAUCCCGAGGCUCAACCUCGGAACUGCGUCUGAAACUACUUGGCUAGAGUACUGGAGAGGGUAACGGAAUUCACGGUGUAGCAGUGAAAUGCGUAGAUAUCGUGAGGAACACCAGAGGCGAAGGCGGUUACCUGGACAGUUACUGACGCUCAGGCACGAAAGCGUGGGGAGCAAAAGGG